AUGCAAACAUGAAAGCUAAACCGUAAGGCGGGGAUUCUAUUCGAUGUUCCAAUCCCAAAACAGCAUUCAGCUGCUGGAUAUCUUAUCGAAUCAGCAACACAGCGUGCUCUUACAGAAGCAAGGCCAUAAGAAAAAGCUUGUAUCAGAACACUUUUAGGUGCUUUGCUUCUUUUUGUUGUUUUGUCAGUCUGAAAUCUUAACUGGAAAUGCAGAAACUCCAUUCUUACUGUUAAGGGUGAAUGAGUUAACUGGAGGCACGUCACUUGCAGCAAGUAUCCUUUCUCUAUAGGUUCCCUUAGUGUCUAAUCACUUUUAAGUAGUUCAGAAGUUUAUAUCUGUAUCCAAUCCAAACCCUUUCAGAAACAGCAAUGUCUCAGCAUUGUAAAUCUUGAGUUCUCCUUGUCACAGUUUCAGAUAUUGCGCUUGUGAAAAACAAUGCCCUGAUCGGUUUUCAGAUUGCAGUAGCACUUUCUCAGCUGUUGUGAGCUUCCUUAUCAACCUCAAGCUCAGACUCAGGUUCAUGAUUCAGGACUGAUCAAAGAUGUUUUAGAUUGGUAGUUAUCCAGUGUGUUUUAAUGUUGCUUAUGAAAGAUUGUUUCCAUAGCCAAAGAAACUCCUUUUAAUAUAUUUUUGCACAUGUUAUAUGAAUAUUUUUAUAUCAUGUGGAACCCCACCUGUCUCUGCAACGUUCCCUAAAGAAUUAUUAAUUAUAUAUACAUAUCCCAAAGGAUCUAAGGAUAGAUAUGCUCUGGAGAGUAUAUCUAUAAUAUAACUAUUUUUGCUUCACUUUAAGCUCUCUCUACAGUUUUUGGACAACAAUGGCUGCAAUCACCGUUGACUUUCAGCUCUGCUUCAUCUUCAUCUUCUUAUGGCUCCUCACACGCUUCUGCCUCUCUGCUUUCUUCUUCAAGAAACCAAAAGAUCUACCUCCGAGUCCACCAUCUCUACCGAUCAUUGGUCAUCUGCACCAUCUCCUCUCUGUUCCAGUUCACAAAUCAUUUCAGAAAGUCUCUUCCAAGUAUGGUCCUCUCCUUCACCUCCGUGCCUUUACUGUCCCAAUCGUUCUUGUCUCAUCUGGCUCCAUGGCCUAUGAAGUUUUGAGGACCCAGGGCCUGAACUUUGCUACCCGUGACCGUGAGGUUCCUACAAUGGAAAAAUCAUUACUGUUUGGAUCUUUUGGCUUUCUCUCAGCGCCUUAUGGAGAUUACUGGAAGUUCAUGAAGAAAAUAUUAGUCACAAAACUUCUUGGGCCUCAUUCUCUCGAGCGGACACGGCUCAUUCGUGGGGAAGAACUUAAGACAUUCCGUGCUAUUCUGUUUGACAAGGCGGCAAAGAAUGAUGCUGUUGAUGUUGGUGAAGAGAUGAUGAAACUGACGAAUAACUCCAUUUGCAGGAUGAUCAUGGGAAGGAAGUGUUCUGAGGAGGACGGUGAAGCAGAGCAAAUCAGAAGCUUGGUGACUAAGUCAGUUAGUUUGGCGAAGAAGUUCCUUAUAGCUACCACAGUUGGUCGACUUCUCAAGAAGGUUGGGAUCUCACUGUUUGAGAAGGAAAUCAUGGAGGUCUCAGAGAGGUACGAUGAAUUGCUGGAGAAGAUUAUUAAGGAACAUGAGAAGAGUCCUAACCAGAAAGAGGACAGAGACAUGAUGGAUGUUCUGUUGGAAGUUUGUGCAGAUGAAAAUGCUGAGUUUAAGAUUUCCAGGAACCAGAUCAAAGCGCUUUUUGUGGAACUUUUCAUUGGAGGCACUGAUACUUCAGCAGAAACAACACAGUGGAUAAUGGCGGAACUGAUUAACCACCCUGAGAUUCUUAAAACUCUGAGAGAAGAGAUUGAAUCUGUUGUCGGGAAAACAAGGUUGAUUCAAGAAACAGAUCUCUCAGGCCUUCCUUAUUUGCAGGCUGUAGUGAAGGAAGGGCUAAGACUACACCCGCAUGGGCCAGUCUUGGUGAGGACUGCAACGGAAGGAUGCAAGAUCGGAGGGUUUUACAUACCACAGAACACUACUAUUCUCAUAAACGCUUAUGCGGUGAUGAGAGAUCCGGAUUCAUGGGAAGAACCAGAAAAGUUUCAACCGGAGAGGUUCAUGGUUUCUCCUUCAAAGGGGGAAAAAGAGAUGAGAGAGCAGUUAGCUUUGAACUACCUUCCUUUUGGGAGCGGAAGAAGAGGAUGCCCUGGAUCAAACUUAGCUUAUAUCUUCAUUGGGGUAGCCAUUGGAACGAUGGUGCAGUGUUUUGACUGGAUUGUUAAUGAUAAUAAGGUGAACAUGGAAGAGGCUGGAGAUAUGACCUUGCGUAUGGCUCAUCCACUUAAAUGCACUCUUGUUGCUCGAAUUGACCCUUCUGGUUGAUGGUUGAGUUUGAUAUGUCCUGUUGAAGUUGCAGACAUACAUCAUGUCUGUAAGUCGGAAAAGUUGCAGAUAGCAAGAAAUGCCAAAGACGUCGAAGGAAGAAUAGUUGCACAUUUUAGAUUUGUCUACUUUAACUUAUCAUUACACUUUCACUACCUACCUGCUACUUCUGAUGAUGAUACACUUGUUCUUCCAGCUUCCGAAGAAGGCUCUACUGCCAUAGAAAACACAGGAGCUUUUGCUCUUUAUCGUUGCUGGGAGGAGCUUGAGUUCUCUGACUUGAAAGGGAGUUUCAUCUUAUCCAGUGAUUCAUUGAACUGGUGCAAGAUUUGGGGUAGCCAUUUGGUACAAUGGUACAGUGUUUUGACUAUAGUAUCAAUGGCGACAAGGUUAACAAACAAGAGUCUUCUCCUUGCACUGUUUAUAACAGAACUUGUUGUCUUUGUGUCUUAGGCAUCUGUUAAAUAAACUCGUUUAAGUACAGGACAAGGUGCGAGAUUUUAGUAAUAAAUUAGGAAACAGUUGCAGAUAACACUUUAGAUAAGUCUUCUUUCAACUUAUUAUUACACUUUUAUUAGUUCCUAAACCUGAUGCUUCCAAAGCUUCAAAAGAAGGCUUUACUGCCAUAGAAAAUACGGGAGUUGGUACUCUUUGGAGUGUGGUGGGAGGAGCUUGAGUUCUCCUUAUAGAUACUGAUUUGUAGUUAACAGGUCUGAACGAAGAAGAACUAGAACGUCUUGCAUCUCUUGGGAAAAGUGUCCAAAAGACCGCAGGCAGGGACAUACCACAUGUUGUGAGUUACUCUAUGCUUCUUAUAGACGCACACGUUAUUUACUUUCAGUCCACGCAGACUGUUUUCGUUCUUCCAUAUAUUACAUGCAUUGUUUUGCUUCAGGUGGCAACAAGAGCAAAUGGUGCAACUACAGUCUCUGCAACUUUGUUUUUCGUUAGUAACAUUGCUAUCAUUUAGACUCAUUUCAUCUAAAGCCUUUGUUUGUUAUAGGUUUGGCAUCCAAGUUUUUGUAACCGGUGGGAUAGGAGGUGUGCAUAGGCAUGCCAACGACCUAUGGACAUAUCACCUGAUCUUACUGCAUUCAGAAGAACUCUAUCGAGGGUUCGAAUCCCUCUCUCUCCUUUUGUUGGAUGAAUAGAUUUUUUUAUUUAUUGGCUUUUUUACUUCUUAGCAUCAUAAAAUGCUGAAAUUGAAUUGACGAACAACCAACAGCAAUAUUACUAUUUUAGUCGUCUUGAAUAAAAAUAAAAAUGGGGCAUAGCCAAGCGGUAAGGCAACGGGUUUUGGUCCCGCUAUUCGGAGGUUCGAAUCCUUCCGUCCCAGAGUCCAGUCAUUACGAAAUCCUAUAGCAGUGAUAUUAGCAGCCAAAGACUGGUAUAUCAUCCCUUGUCAAUGCAUAUUAGUCAACAAUUAAGAGUUAAAAGUUUUCAUCAGAGCCAUUCGUUGACAAUGCAGGAAACUCAAGAAGCUGAUAUUAUCGAUAUAAGUUUUCAUCUUAUCGAAUCAACAACACAGCGUGCUCUUACAGAAGCAAGGUCACCCAAAGAUCUUUGUGUGACCUUGCUUCUAGAAGCUGAUACUUUCCAAACAUGCUUGCAUCAAAGUACUUGAAGUAUUUGCUUAUUUUAUUGUCUGAAAUCAGAAUUUGGUUAUGGCCAGGGAACAAAAUGUUACUGGAAAUGCAGGACCAUACUUACUUGCACGAGUAAAUGAGUUAACUGGAGACACGUCACUUACCGCAAGUAUCCUUUCUUCAGAGGUUCAGAAACUUGUAUAUAUAUUGCUCUUGUGAAAAUCAAUGCCCUUAUUGGUUCUCAGAUUGCAGUAGCGCUUUAUCAGCUGACGUGAGCUUCCUUAUCAACCUCAAGCUCAAACUCAGGUUCUUGAUUCAGGACAGAUCAAAGAUGUUUUAGAUUGAUAGUUAUCCAGUGUGUUUUAAUGCUGUUUGUGAAAGAUUUGUUUCUUGAACCCAAAAAACUCUUUUUAACAUAUGUUCACAUGUGGAACCUGAUC